AGUGAGUUUUUGAGAGAAAAAUUCAGUCACACAUCUUGCUCAAAAGUGCCGAAAAUUCUAGUACCUUAAGGGCGAUUCUAGUUGGUCAAUCUUAAGGCGGAUCUGGACGUGCUGUGGACUAUCUACGGAGGGACGACACUUGGAGUCCUAAAGACUUGUUCUUGUUCGGUUCGGGCGCAGCUAGGGAGGGCACGCAACAAAGAGGAAGCAAAUAGCUGGGGUUGUAGACUACGGAGUACUUAGUUUUGCCAUGACCCUUUGACUGCAGAUAGCCCACAGAACAUGGUUAAGCCUAGUCUCCUAAAUUACAACCAAAGUAUGUCUUAAAUGGAGGCAUAUGACUGAGGAUGACGGGUGCCCUUGGUGCGAGAAGGAGCCUGAAACUGCCUACCAUGACCUCAUUGAAUGCCCAUAUGUGUGUGAUUCUUUGGCGAACGAAGGAAUGUGCAGGAAUUCUGAAUGGAUACAAAGAGAUGAGUGUUCUUGACUGGGUUGAAAAGUGGCGAGAACUGGAUGUUAGGAGAAGACAAGUUGGUGCCACUCUACUUUGGCACAUUUGGAAACGAAGGAAUGACCGGAUUUUUAAUAAAAAAGACACCCCUCAUGCUGUUGUGAUGGAUCGAGUAUUCAGACUUGUUGAGGACUACAACAAAUACGCGACAAAAGUCUAGCAGAAGAAUUCGUGGAUACUGGCCUCCUGAAAUUGCAGAGGGGAAAGCUCUACUUCUAGGUGUGAAGCUUGCAAGCCAACAUAGGCUCACCCAUGUUAUUUUCGAAAGUGACAGUGAGGUAUUCAUUAAGAGAUUGAAAAAUUCAGCAGUGUAUUUGUCAGACUUGGAUACUAUUUUAGAGGAUGUCCUAGUCCUUAUUAAGGAUUUUGAGUUUUAUUCUUUUUCCCAUGUUAAGAGAGAUGGUAACUUUGUUGCGCACCAUCUUGCUCGGUUAGUGCCAUUCCCGAGUUCAACAAGUUCGGAGAAACCAUUGUCCUUGUGAGGUUUCUCCGUAUGUAACAAUGGACACUUUGUCCUUUAAUUAAUGAAAGCACUACCGUUUUCCCUCAAAAAAAAAAUAAAAAAAAAUUAGAUGUUAUACUUGUUUUCCUUGUUCCCUAAUCCUAGUGGAUUUACCCCAAUACCAAACACUGAAUAC